AGUUCAAAGGGAGAGAAAGAUCCAAGCAGAAUCACUGGACUUUGCAGAUUAUUGCUUCAAACUUAUUUUCACAAGAUGCCCCUUUGCUUCUGAGCCUCAGCAUGCUCUUUGAAAGCAAAGCUUAAAAGUCAAGCUGCUUUUGAUUCUCAAAAACAAAACAAACAAGAAAUUCAGCAUGAGCGGCUUUUCCUUUUCAACACUGGAAAACAGAGACAGAAGGCCAGCCUUGGCUGGGGCAGUGGAGAAGAUGAAGAAUGAGGAACUGGGUCACUUGACUGAAGCCCCACACAAAAGGCUCUGGAGGUUCACCGGCUCUGGAGCCUCGAGAAGUGAAGUUGAAGCUUACAAGGGCCUUGGGGAAGUGUCCAUGUCUGGUGCUUCACUGUGUUAAAUGAAGAUGAGUGGACCUGAUUGGGUGGUUGGGAGGAUUAAGUUGAUAAAACAAUGUGAAGUCCUGGGAAUGUCACACUCACAGUAAACAUGUGUUGUUCAUAAAACUGCA